rnacentral:rRNA from 1 species
CCUACGGGAGGCAGCAGUGAGGAAUAUUGGUCAAUGGGCGGAAGCCUGAACCAGCCAAGCAGCGUGCGGGAUGAAGGCCCUACGGGUCGUAAACCGCUUUUGCACGGGGAUAACACCCGCCACUUGUGGAGGUCUGCAGGUACCGUGCGAAUAAGGGCCGGCUAAUUCCGCGCCAGCAGCCGCGGUAAUAUGGAAGGCCCGAGGGUUAUCCGGAUUCAUUGGGCUUAACGGGAGCGUGGGCGGGCGUUCAAGUCAGCUGUAAAAUCGCGCGGCUCAACCGCGCCCCGCAGUUGAAACUGGACGCCUUGAGUUCACAAGAGGCAGGCGGAAUUCGAGGUGUAGCGGUGAAAUGCGUAGAUAUCGCGAGGAACCCCGAUUGCGAAGGCAGCCUGCCGGGGUGCGACUGACGCUGAGGCUCGAAGGUGCGGGUAGCAAACAGGAUUAGAUACCCGAGUAGUC